rnacentral:rRNA from 1 species
UACGGAGGAUCCGAGCGUUAUCCGGAUUUAUUGGGUUUAAAGGGUGCGUAGGCGGGCUGAUAAGUCAGUGGUGAAAGUUUGCAGCUUAACUGUAAAAUUGCCAUUGAAACUGUUAGUCUUGAGUACAGUAGAGGUAGGCGGAAUGUGUAGUGUAGCGGUGAAAUGCAUAGAUAUUACACAGAACACCAAUUGCGUAGGCAGCUUACUGGAGUGUCACUGACGCUGAGGCACGAUAGCGUGGGGAUCAAACAGGAUUAGAUACC